rnacentral:rRNA from 1 species
ACCAGUACCGUGAGGGAAAGGCGAAAAGAACCCCGGCGAGGGGAGUGAAAAAGAACCUGAAACCGUGUACGUACAAGCAGUGGGAGCACAGGUUUACCUGUGUGACUGCGUACCUUUUGUAUAAUGGGUCAGCGACUUAUAUUCUGUAGCAAGGUUAACCGAAUAGGGGAGCCGGAGGGAAACCGAGUCUUAAUUGGGCGUUAAGUUGCAGGGUAUAGACCCGAAACCCGGUGAUCUAGCCAUGGGCAGGUUGAAGGUUGGGUAACACUAACUGGAGGACCGAACCGACUAAUGUUGAAAAAUUAGCGGAUGACCUGUGGCUGGGGGUGAAAGGCCAAUCAAACCGGGAGAUAGCUGGUUCUCCCCGAAAGCUAUUUAGGUAGCGCCUCGUGAAUUCAUCUCCGGGGGUAGAGCACUGUUUCGGCUAGGGGGCCAUCCCGGCUUACCAACCCGAUGCAAACUGCGAAUACCGGAGAAUGUUAUCACGGGAGACACACGGCGGGUGCUAACGUCCGUCGUGAAGAGGGAAACAACCCAGACCGCCAGCUAAGGUCCCAAAGUCAUGGUUAAGUGGGAAACGAUGUGGGAAGGCCCAGACAGCCAGGAUGUUGGCUUAGAAGCAGCCAUCAUUUAAAGAAAGCGUAAUAGCUCACUGGUCGAGUCGGCCUGCGCGGAAGAUGUAACGGGGCUAAACCAUGCACCGAAGCUGCGGCAGCGACACUGGUGUUGUUGGGUAGGGGAGCGUUCUGUAAGCCUGCGAAGGUGGCCUGUGAGGGUUGCUGGAGGUAUCAGAAGUGCGAAUGCUGACAUAAGUAACGAUAAAGCGGGUGAAAAGCCCGCUCGCCGGAAGACCAAGGGUUCCUGUCCAACGUUAAUCGGGGCAGGGUGAGUCGACCCCUAAGGCGAGGCCGAAAGGCGUAGUCGAUGGGAAACGGGUUAAUAUUCCCGUACUUGGUGUUACUGCGAAGGGGGGACGGAGAAGGCUAUGUUGGCCGGGCGACGGUUGUCCCGGUUUAAGCGUGUAGGUGUGUGUUCCAGGUAAAUCCGGUUCACUUUAACACUGAGGCGUGAUGACGAGGCACUACGGUGCUGAAGCAACAAAUGCCCUGCUUCCAGGAAAAGCCUCUAAGCAUCAGGUAACAUCAAAUCGUACCCCAAACCGACACAGGUGGUCAGGUAGAGAAUACCAAGGCGCUUGAGAGAACUCGGGUGAAGGAACUAGGCAAAAUGGUGCCGUAACUUCGGGAGAAGGCACGCUGACACGUAGGUGAAGUGAUUUACUCAUGGAGCUGAAGUCAGUCGAAGAUACCAGCUGGCUGCAACUGUUUAUUAAAAACACAGCACUGUGCAAACACGAAAGUGGACGUAUACGGUGUGACGCCUGCCCGGUGCCGGAAGGUUAAUUGAUGGGGUCAGCGCAAGCGAAGCUCCUGAUCGAAGCCCCGGUAAACGGCGGCCGUAACUAUAACGGUCCUAAGGUAGCGAAAUUCCUUGUCGGGUAAGUUCCGACCUGCACGAAUGGCGUAAUGAUGGCCAGGCUGUCUCCACCCGAGACUCAGUGAAAUUGAACUCGCUGUGAAGAUGCAGUGUACCCGCGGCAAGACGGAAAGACCCCGUGAACCUUUACUAUAGCUUGACACUGAACAUUGAGCCUUGAUGUGUAGGAUAGGUGGGAGGCUUUGAAGUGUGGACGCCAGUCUGCAUGGAGCCGACCUUGAAAUACCACCCUUUAAUGUUUGAUGUUCUAACGUGGACCCGUAAUCCGGGUUGCGGACAGUGUCUGGUGGGUAGUUUGACUGGGGCGGUCUCCUCCUAAAGAGUAACGGAGGAGCACGAAGGUUGGCUAAUCCUGGUCGGACAUCAGGAGGUUAGUGCAAUGGCAUAAGCCAGCUUGACUGCGAGCGUGACGGCGCGAGCAGGUGCGAAAGCAGGUCAUAGUGAUCCGGUGGUUCUGAAUGGAAGGGCCAUCGCUCAACGGAUAAAAGGUACUCCGGGGAUAACAGGCUGAUACCGCCCAAGAGUUCAUAUCGACGGCGGUGUUUGGCACCUCGAUGUCGGCUCAUCACAUCCUGGGGCUGAAGUAGGUCCCAAGGGUAUGGCUGUUCGCCAUUUAAAGUGGUACGCGAGCUGGGUUUAGAACGUCGUGAGACAGUUCGGUCCCUAUCUGCCGUGGGCGCUGGAGAACUGAGGGGGGCUGCUCCUAGUACGAGAGGACCGGAGUGGACGCAUCACUGGUGUUCGGGUUGUCAUGCCAAUGGCACUGCCCGGUAGCUAAAUGCGGAAGAGAUAAGUGCUGAAAGCAUCUAAGCACGAAACUUGCCCCGAGAUGAGUUCUCCCUGAGACUUAGAGUCUCCUGAAGGAACGUUGAAGACGACGACGUUGAUAGGCCGGGUGUGUAAGCGCAGCGAUGCGUUGAGCUAACCGGUACUAAUGAACCGUGAGGCUUAACCUU